AAACUCACUUAUCUGUUCAUCUUCUUCUCAUCAUCGACGAUCGUUAGCACAUAGAUAUGUCCGAUUCUGUUUUUUUUUUUUUGGUUAGCAAUUUGAGAUCCACUACAGAAUUCUUAUAUCACAGGAUUGGGAAUCGAAAGCUAGAUUCAGUAGCUUACUCGCAUAGUCUACCUAUGGUUACCCAAAGAAUGUGACCUUUGAUCCAAAACCAUUGAUGCUCAUGCUGUCGAUGGAUAUAAUUUGAAAAAUUGAGUUUGUACGAAGGAGUAGAUAAAGAACCAAACAAAAAAUUAAUAAGGGUAUUAAUUAUUCUAUUGAUAAGGUGUGUGUUUAUACGUUUGUUUAUGUAAAUAGGAUGUAGUGUUUGUAUAUUAUUUUUUUUAGUUCCAACGAAUCAAAUUUACUAAUCAUGUGAUUAUGAUUUAUUUUUUC